UAGGGAAUCUUCGGCAAUGGGGUGAACCCUGACCGAGCAACGUCGCGUGAGUGAAGAAGGUUUUCGGAUCGUAAAGCUCUGUUGUUAAGGAAGAACGAGUGUGAGAAUGGAAAGUUCAUGCUGUGACGGUACUUAACCAGAAAGGGACGGCUAACUACGUGCCAGCAGCCGCGGUAAUACGUAGGUCCCGAGCGUUGUCCGGAUUUAUUGGGCGUAAAGCGAGCGCAGGCGGUUAGAAAAGUCUGAAGUGAAAGGCAGUGGCUCAACCAUUGUAGGCUUUGGAAACUGUUUAACUUGAGUGCAGAAGGGAAGAGUGGAAUUCAAUGUGUAGCGGUGAAAUGCGUAGAUAUAUGGAGGAACACCGGUGGCGAAAGCGGCUCUCUGGUCUGUAACUGACGCUGAGGCUCGAAAGCGUGGGGAGCGAACAGG
rnacentral:rRNA from 1 species